rnacentral:lncRNA from 7 species
GAGAAUGCACUGGUUCAUCUUUAUUGCAGAGCAUGAAUUUUUCUUGGUGCUGAUUCCCAGCUCAAAGCAGCUGAAACUGCAUGACUUUUGUCUUGGAUCACAAUUUUAUUAAUAGAUCAAGAUUUCUCUAGAUGCGUGAGUAUAGAUGUGUUACUUGAAGAAGCUGACAUCUAUGUAUCUAUUGCACUGCACGCUGAAGCAGAAUGUGAGAGCAGCAAAAGAAGAGGGAGAUGUGCUCUUCUCUAAACUCAGCGACCUUUGGAUAAACUCUUUGAUAAAAGAGGUUUUGCCAUUUGUGUUGCUGCUGAUGCCGCCAGGAAGUUACACCUUCAAACAGCCUUUGUCUAAAUCCUUACAUCCUUUAUCUGACUUUGUUGAUCCAGAUGGCAGGAUCCCUGGGAGUGAUGCUGACCAAACAUGGAGACUUUCUGCUGCAGAGAGGAGCUGAAAGAGCUGCAAUUCAGAAUCUUAGGAAAAUCAUGAUCUGUGGGGAUGUGACAUAAAAAUGCAGCAGCAGCACUGAGAAUACCUCAGCAGGAGGCCUCACUGUAGCUGGCACUUCUCUACCUUCCUGCCCACAUAGGAGGACAUGGGCAUCACCUCCCUCAGGCAGCAACAACAGCCACCUCAGCACCCUUGGCACUGAGGCAGGCACAGCUGGGUGGGAUGUCUCCUGCCCUCCACUCUGCGUGUCUACACUGCUUGUGUAGCAGCCAGAAGGCCACAGGCAAUUCCACUCCAGACCAUUCCAAAUCAAAAACGACAUGGGGCAUCUUACUCUCAUUUUUGCCAUUGGCAAUUUUCUGUGGUGUCCAUAAAAUGCAAGGUUCAUGCUGACUAAAAUCUCAGUGACAUAAUCUCGCAUAUGAACAGUACUUUAAGAACACUGAGAUUUAAGUAUGAUUCUGCAGAGCUGUCAGAAAGAUGCAAAUGUGUUUUAAGUGGAAAACACAGACAAAACUGAAGUUUUUAUUGGUCAAAGUGCUUUGCAAUGCAAGGGCUGCAGAAGGGUUUCUGUGAAUUCAAACUGUUUCUCUGCAGUGAAGAGGAAAACAACAUAAAAAAAGUAUAAUAAUAUAAUAAUUUUCUGUACAGCUAUUGAAUCAGUGAGAAACCUUACAGACACGUUAGAGGAAAAACUAGAACUUGCUCUCUUUCCUGAGGUAUUUUAUACUCUUCUACAUUGCAGUUGUUUUAUGUACUGAGAUGAAAGAAUUCAUAUUAUUUUUAACUGUAAUGGAAAUAGACCUGGAAAAUCAUGUCAAUAAAUCUAAACUACAUGAC